rnacentral:rRNA from 1 species
GACGAACGCUGGCGGCGUGCUUAACACAUGCAAGUCGAACGAUGAACGCUGGAGCUUGCUCCGGCUGGAUUAGUGGCGAACGGGCGAGUAACACGUGAGCAAUCUGCCCUUGACUCUGGGAUAACUCCGAGAAAUCGGUGCUAAUACCGGAUAUGACCCUUGGCGGCAUCGCUGGGGGUGGAAAGUUUUUCGGUCAAGGAUGAGCUCGCGGCCUCUCAGCUUGUUGGUGAGGUAAUGGCUCACCAAGGCGACGACGGGUAGCCGGCCUGAGAGGGUGACCGGCCACAAUGGGACUGAGACACGGCCCAGACUCCUACGGGAGGCAGCAGUGGGGAAUAUUGCACAAUGGGCGCAAGCCUGAUGCAGCAACGCCGCGUGGGGGAUGACGGCCUUCGGGUUGUAAACCUCUUUUAGCAGGGAAGAAGCGAAAGUGACGGUACCUGCAGAAAAAGCACCGGCUAACUACGUGCCAGCCGCCGCGGUAA